rnacentral:misc_RNA from 1 species
UUAUUUUUAGGCUUUCCAAACACACAUAUACAAUACAAAUUAGGAGUUUCUUUUUUUAUAACAUAUGUUGGGAGGGGAGAGUCGAACCUGAGUCUCUCAGGUUCAACAUACAUGCAGCUACUACAGAGCUAUGCCCACCUCUGCAUACAAAUUACAAUAUUAAUGUACAUGAUAUGUCAAAUAAAAUUACAGCAAUUGAAUUAUUAAUCCCACAAUAGAGCGAUGCAAGUAAUGCAGAAAUGAAAGAUAUGCCUCAGAAAAGCAAGCUUGCCCAUGCAGCAAUAAAUGCA